CAGCGGGGGGUAGCUUGCUACCUCGCCGGCGAGUGGCGGACGGGUGAGUAAUGCCUGGGGAGCUGCCCAAUCGAGGGGGAUACCAGUUGGAAACGACUGCUAAUACCGCAUACGCCCUGAGGGGGAAAGGUGGGGAUCUUC
rnacentral:rRNA from 1 species